UACGUAGGUGACAAGCGUUAUCCGGAAUACUGGGCGUAAAGCGCACGCAGGCGGCUGCGUAAGUCUGACGUGAAAUCUCCCGGCUUAACCGGGAGCGGUCGUUGGAAACUAUGCGGCUUGAGGCGAUGAGAGGGGUGUGGAAUUCCCGGUGUAGUGGUGGAAUGCGUAGAUAUUGGGAAGAACGCUCGUGGCGAAAGCGAGAUCCUGGGCAGCCUCUGACGCUGAGGCACGAAGGCCAGGGGAGCAAACGGG
rnacentral:rRNA from 1 species